AAAAAGCCAACGGUUAACCACAUAGUCAACAGUCAACACUAACACACAUCUCUUCUCUCUUAUUACAGCAAUUUAUCGAACACGUGUAAGACAUUUCACAUUUCAACAAAGAAUAGAGGGAGGAGAUCUCCGAUAAAGAGCUUGUUGAAGGCGCGUGAUCAUGCGAUACAGGUUAUUACCUACCACUUCUUCUUUUUGUAUUCAUGUAAUUCUACUUUUGGAAUACUUCAAUUUUGUAACGAUCAUCUAUUUUCUUAGUGUUUGAAACUCGCAUAACUGCAAACCUAGGUUAAACGUAAGAGUUAAUGUAGUUGCAUUUUAUUAUUUUAGGAAAAAUUUGAUAUGCAUGAAGAUCCGUUUUUGAGAAUUUUAUGCUUCAGGUACUCAAUUAGAUAGAUUUUUAAGAGAACAAAGUUUGAAUCAUUCCAUUGUAUUGUGAAAUAAAGUAGAAGCAAGUGUAAUGGAGCGGGUUGAAACAGAAUGGAGAAUGUUAUCCAUUUCUUAUUUUACACCAAAUAGUAAACUACAUUCAUCGCCGUUGGAAAUUUAAUGUCUUAAUGGAUAUGGCGAAGACAAAUACAAAAGUGAUUGUAAACGCAAUAACUACAACUGCAACCACUCCCAACAAAUCAUGCUUGAAACCAAAGUAAUUAUGUAAAAAGUCUUGUAUUGGAACAGUUAUUCCAUUAGACUUCAAAUCAUCCUUUAUAUCUCCAAACUGUGAAGUCACCAACCCAUUUAAAGUCCAAGCCACUGGAUUUAUCCAAUAGAACCAUCUCCACCAUACAGGGAUCCUCUGAAAUUCCAUUUCAAAAAAUUAAUGAAAAGAAACAACAACAAUAAUUAUUUGUAUAGUACAAGUCUAUGCGGUUAACCGUUAACAUAAAAAACUUAAACUUACUGGCUGUGGGAUUAUGAAUCCUGAGAAGAGAUUCCAUAAUGAAUUGGACGCACUGCAUAAUAAAGCAGCCAUGGAUUGGUUUGGGGUCAUGGCUGCUGUCAUCAGACCGUAGAAGGUGUAGUAAAGGAAGGUGAAGAACAUGAAAAAUAUGUACCAACAAAAUUUAGUGAUGCUCAACUCAUAACCAAUCAUUGUGUAAACUAUAAUCCCAUAAAUUACAACUUGUACAAAAUUAUAAGGAACUUCAAUUAGAGCCUGUAUGAAAGAAAAUAUGAAGAUUAGAAAAAAUACACACACAAAAUUAUUUACAUACACGAGACUACGUAAAUAAAGACUAAUUAAAUGCUUACCUGAGAAACAGCAUAUGCCAAUGAUGAAUACAUUCCUGCAGCCCUUUCCCUGUAAAAGACUACUCGCUCUACAGCUACCACUGGUUGCACUGAAUUGCAAUUCUUGGUACCAAUAAGCAAAGUAGUAGUGUACAUAAAGCCCAUGGAAUUAAAUAAAUCUUGUUGGUUUUGACUGCAAUCAAUUGAUGUAUAAAUUCAAUUUUAGAAUAAUCAGAAGCAAAAAUUUGAAUGCCAUAUAAAACACCUACUAAUUUCCAUUGGUAUCUUACAUUUUGGAGCCAAUUUUCCAGUUCAUGCUCCCAAGAAACAGGGCGACACCAGUUGUGAAGAUAAACCUUAUGGCAUUGUACUCCGGAUUGCGCCAGUAAGACCAAUGUUGUUUCCAUAAACAAGCCAUACAUUGGAUAGAAAAGGACCUCGAGUACUUUGAAGGA
rnacentral:lncRNA from 1 species